rnacentral:lncRNA from 1 species
AUGACCAGCCGGCCUCUUCUCUGCGCCCUGCUGCUGCUCUCCUGGAGGCUGCUUGUAGCUGAAGAGACCACUACGAAAGCUCUCACGAACACCUCUCCUACCAGUUUCCCCACCACCUCCCAUAGUAGCUCCCCCUCCCCUCCCACCUCUGACAGUGGCUCCCCAUCCCCCUUCCCUUCCACCUCCCACAGUAGCUCCCCCUCCCCUCCCACCUCUGACAGUGGCUCCCCAUCCCCCUUCCCCACCACCUCCCAUAGUAGCUCCCCCUCCCCUCCCACCUCUGACAGUGGCUCCCCAUCCCCCUUCCCUUCCACCUCCCACAGUAGCUCCCCCUCCCCUCCCACCUCUGACAGUGGCUCCCCAUCCCCCUUCCCUUCCACCUCCCACAGUAGCUCCCCCUCCUCUCCCACCUCUGACAGUGGCUCCCCAUCCCCCUUCCCUUACACCUCCCACAGUAGCUCACCCUCCUCUCCCACCUCUGACAGUGGCUCCCCAUCCCCCUUCCCUUCCACCUCCCACAGUAGCUCACCCUCCUCUCCUAACUCCCACAGUGGCUCCCAGUCCACCACCUCCUCCCACAGUGGCUCUACCUCCCACACCAGCUGGCCCUUCUCCCCAACUACCUUUGGGGGCUCCUCCCCAAACUCCAACACCUUCUCUGGAGAUCCAUCAGCUGCUACGAGUAUGACAACCCCAGAGGAGGGGUCCACCACGCUGGGGAUCAGUGCCAGUUCAGCCCCAGGGGGGACCCAGCGCAAUCCUGCUGUGGUGAUUGUGGUCUGCUUGCUCGUAUCCGUUCUGGUCCUGGGCUCUGCUAUGGUGGCUGUGAAAUGCUGCCAGAAGAAUGUGAGAGGCUUUGAGAAGAUGGAUGAGAUGCCCAUGGUCUGUGCCUCUGAGGAAAGAUCACCCUGAUUCCUGUCUGAUGAGCCCUUCCUUCCUUCCCCCCUUUCUCUCUCUCCUCCUUUCCUCGUUCUCUCCCUCAUUUCCUUCCCUCUUUCUCUCCCUCACUCUUUCUCUCUCUCCCUCCUUCCUUCCCUCUUUCUCUCCCUCUCCCAUUCUCUCCCUCCUCUUUUCUCUUCCUCUUGUCUUGCUACCCCUUUCUCUGCCCCCUUCUUUCCUCUCUCCUUUUUUCUCUCCUUUUACCAUUUUGUUCCUGUCUUCAUACCAUCUCACUCCGGGAGAAUUCCAGAGGAGUAGGUUGGCCUAAGGCAUUGGUGGCUCCAAGGAACCCCCAAACCUGGUCCUUCCUGCCUUCUCCUCACCACAAGGGGGGCAGCUCCCACCUGAAUAUCUCCUGUUUUGUUUCACUUUUCAGGCAACUGUUCGAGAGGAAUCACCCUUUGCAAAAUUACCCCCCCAGUGACCACAGAUGGCAAUGGGGGGCAGCUUCUGAGGGGCUGUUGGGACAGCUCCUGUUCACCCAUGCCCUCUACCCCCUCCCAUAAGGAUACUGGAGUCUGUCACUGAAUAAAACGAAGACUGAAAUGAGACA